rnacentral:rRNA from 1 species
ACAGCAGUCGCCGCGGGAAUACGUAGGGUGCAAGCGUUAAUCGGAAUUACUGGGCGUAAAACGUGCGCAGGCGGUUUGUUAAGACAGAUGUGAAAUCCCCGGGCUCAACCUGGGAACUGCAUUUGUGACUGGCAAGCUAGAGUGUGGCAGAGGGGGGUGGAAUUCCGCGUGUAGCAGUGAAAUGCGUAGAUAUGCGGAGGAACACCGAUGGCGAAGGCAGCCCCCUGGGCCAACACUGACGCUCAUGCACGAAAGCGUGGGGAGCAAACAGGAUUAGAUACCCCCGUAGUCCCUGUCUCUUAUAC